UACGGAGGGAGCAAGCGUUACUCGGAAUUAUUGGGCGUAAAGGGCGCGUAGGCGAUUUGAAAAGUCUUGUGUGAAAGCCCCGAGCUUAACUCGGGAAGUGCACAAGAAACUGUUGAAUUUGAGUUCCGGAGAGGAAGGCAGAAUUCCCGGUGUAGCGGUGAAAUGCGUAGAUAUCGGGAGGAAUACCAGUGGCGAAGGCGGCCUUCUGGACGGAUACUGACGCUGAGGCGCGAAAGCCAGGGGAGCAAACAGG
rnacentral:rRNA from 1 species